rnacentral:rRNA from 1 species
AGUGGAAAAGGAUGUGGAAUUGCACAGACAACCAGGAUGUUGGCUUAGAAGCAGCCACUCAUUAAAAGAGUGCGUAAUAGCUCACUGGUCGAGUGACUCUGCGCCGAAAAUUCAACGGGGCUAAAAUUCAUACCGAAGCUUGGGCUUGACAGAAAUGUCAGGGGUAGGGGAGCGUCGUAUACGAGGUGAAGUCAUAGCGGAAGCGGUGGUGGAUUGUAUACGAGUGAGAAUGCCGGAAUGAGUAGCGAGAAUUAUGUGAGAAUCAUAAUGGCCGAAAGUCUAAGGUUUCCUGAGGAAGGUUCGUCCUCUCAGGGUUAGCCGGGAGCUAAGGUGAGGCGGAAACGCGUAGCCGAUGCACAUACGGUAGAAAUUCCGUAGCCUCCGAAGAUUUAAGCACAGGGACACUUUUGAAGGGCUGAGCCGGGCGUUGGUUGCCCCGGUCGAAAGGGACACGAUUGAGUGGAAGUCAGUUUGGAAAGAGGCGAGAAAAGCUGUGUGUAUAUGAAAGGAGCCCGUACCGCAAACCGACACAGGUAGACAGGAAGAAGAUUCUAAGGCCAGCGGGAGAAGGGUUGUUAAGGAACUCGGCAAGUUGACCCCGUAACUUCGGGAGAAGGGGUGCUUACGAAGGUAAGCCGCAGAGAAUAGGCCCAAGCGACUGUUUAGCAAAAACACAGCUCUAUGCUAAAUCGAAAGAUGACGUAUAUGGGGUGACACCUGCCCGGUGCUGGAAGGUUAAGAGGAGAUGUGAGAGCAUUGAAUUGAAGCCCCAGUAAACGGCGGCCGUAACUAUAACGGUCCUAAGGUAGCGAAAUUCCUUGUCAGGUAAGUUCUGACCCGCACGAAUGGUGUAACGAUUUGGGCACUGUCUCAACAACCCACCCGGCGAAAUUGUAGUACCGGUGAAGAUGCCGGUUACCCGCGACUAGACGGAAAGACCCCAUGGAGCUUCACUGCAGCUUAAUAUUGGAUUUCGGUAUUUCAUGUACAGGAUAGGUGGGAGACUGGGAAAUACAGGCGUCAGCUUGUAUGGAGUCAUUGUUGGGAUACCACUCUUGAGGUGCUGGAAUUCUAACCUGUGGCCUUGAAUCAGGUCAGGGGACAUUGUUAGGCGGGCAGUUUGACUGGGGCGGUCGCCUCCUAAAAGGUAACGGAGGCGCUCAAAGGUUCGCUCAGCAUGGACGGAAACCAUGCCAAAGAGUGUAAACGCAUAAGCGAGCCUAACUGCGAGACUGACGGGUCGAGCAGUAACGAAAGUUGGAGUUAGUGAUCCGGCGGUAUAUGUGAGUGGAAAUGCCGUCGCUCAACGGAUAAAAGCUACCCUGGGGAUAACAGGCUGAUCUCCCCCAAGAGUCCACAUCGACGGGGAGGUUUGGCACCUCGAUGUCGGCUCAUCGCAUCCUGGGGCUGAAUUCGGUCCCAAGGGUUUGGCUGUUCGCCAAUUAAAGCGGUACGCGAGCUGGGUUCAGAACGUCGUGAGACAGUUCGGUCCCUAUCUGUCGUGGGCGUUGGAGAUUUGAAAGGAGCUGUCCCUAGUACGAGAGGACCGGGAUGGACGCACCUCUGGUGCACCAGUUGUCACGCCAGUGGCACAGCUGGGCAGCUAUGUGCGGAACGGAUAAACGCUGAAAGCAUCUAAGCGUGAAGCCGCCCUUAAGAUAAGAUCUCCUUUAAGACCCCUUGUAGACUACGAGGUUGAUAGGUCUGAUGUGUAAGCACGGUGACGUGUUUAGCUUGCAGAUACUAAUCGGUCGUUCGCUUUUCCU